GCCCAGGCGCUUCCGCGACCACCCGGAGUGGUUGGCCGGCAGAGCGCGGUAAAAAAUCUCAUUUGGACAGAUUGAGUCGGGCACAACUGACCCAACUUUUCUUAGCCUCAGUCCUGGAAUGCCCUUUCUAUGAGGGUCCAAAACUCCUUUCUAAAUAUCAAGUGAAGUCAUUUCUUACCCCAUGCUUUUCCCUGGAGACCCCUGUGGAUUCUCAGCUUUAUAGAUAUGUGAAGAUCGGGCUGACUAACCUUUUAGGAGCAAGAUUAUAUUUUGCUCCAAAAGUGUUGACACCCUAUUGUUAUACAAUAGCCUUCAGUCCAAUUGAUCAAUGCAAUGUGGAAGGAAUCAAAGCAAAGCAAAGGAAUGAAUACAGGAAGAUAGUGUUUGUGAGGGUAUCACACGAGGAAUUUUUCCUUUCUUCUCUCACCAGAUGUUGAAAUUAAAUUAGAUGAAGAAGGAUUUGUAUUGCCAUCCACAGUUAAUGAAGAUAUCCAUAAAAGGAUAGCACUAUGUAUUGAUGAUCCAAAAAGGUUUUGCUCCAAUAGCAAACACUUACUGGGAAAAGAAGCUAUUAAACAAAGACACCUACAGUUACUUGGUUAUCAAGUUGUUCAGAUCCCCUAUCAUGAGAUUGGGAUGCUAAAAUCAAGACGUGAAUUGGUGGAAUAUUUACAAAGAAAACUGUUUUCUCAAAACACUGUUCAUUAGUCACAAGAAUGAAUACUGACUUCAGAACUCAAAAAAAUGAAAGAACUUGCAUUUUUAUGGAACUCAGUAUUAAAAGAAAACUAUAAUGUGAAUUAGUCACUUUGCAGAAUAU
rnacentral:sRNA from 1 species